UGUGCAGACUUUCACUAGGAUUCACGAUAGGCUUCGUCGUUACGAUACCCUUUCAGUGGCCGAUAUUGAGACUAUAGAAGCCGACUAUCUUGCUCUUGAAAUCUA
rnacentral:misc_RNA from 1 species